rnacentral:lncRNA from 1 species
UGGCAUUGAAAGCUUCUUCAAAGGCUUCCUCUUCCUCAUACUUGUACAUGCAAGCACUGAAAUCAGCAAGUACAUUUGGUCCUUCCUCGUCUUUUUUCUUAUGAGGUAAGUGUCUGAUGGCAUUUUGCAUUAUGUGAAAAGUGCACAACCCAUGCCAUGCUUCCAUAAAUACUGCCCGAAUUGCAUUACCCAUUGCUACAUCUUGAUCAGUAAAUAUUGUUCCAGGUUGCUUUUUGUUAUGCACUGAUAGGAACGUGUUGAACAACCAUUUGAAUGAUUCAAAUGUCUCAUCAUAUAAAAGUGCAGCACCAAAAAUGACCAUUUCUCUAAAAUGGUUGAAGCCAACAAACACACCGAAGGGUCUGUACUCUUUGUUUGUCCCAAAUGUUGUAUCGAAGGUAACAACAUCACCGAAAUGAGCAUAGUCAAUGAUCAUCCUUGCAUCAGCCCAAAAGAUAUUUGCUAUAUUUUCAUCACAAUCUAGUUGCAUGUCAUAUUCAAAUGCAGGAUUCUCAUUCUUUUUAUCUCUAAAAUACUUGAGCAUACGUACUUCCAGCUUCACCAUACAUCAAGUCUCUUUGACGUCUGGUUCGCAAGUGGUUCUUGCGAUCACGACAUGUGUAGCCAAGGUUCAGUGGACCACCAACUUGUCGACUUGCUAACUCAUGGGCUUUUCUAGGUACAAUUCCUGAAUCAUCUGCUGUUUCAAUUUCAAGUGCUUGCAAGGCCGAAAUUUUCCUCUGUGAUGGCAUCAAGUGGCUUGUCCCAGGUAAUUGCAACACAUGGUUGUGUUCAACAACUAACUCAUGCACCUCAUAAUUUCCUGCUUCUCAGUCUAUAGUGAUUCCCAUUCGAACAUUGCAGCCGGUCCUUGUUUCUGCACGAGGACGCUUUGUAUUAUUAUCCCUUUUGUCUUUUCUUCUGUAGCCCUCAUUGGAACAAACAUAUCUUGCUGAAGUGAUUACUCCAUCAAGUUUGCUCUUGUUUUCAUAAUUUAUCCUUACAUCAAAACCAAUAUGACCUCCAUAACAUGUCCAAAAGUUCCAAGCCUCUUUUGUGGAAUGAAAUUUCAUACCAAUCUGAGGCAUCCAACUAGGAACCACAUUUGUCCUAUAAAAAUUACACAUAACUUAUUUGUUUGUAUGCUUACACUACAAUCAUAAGAUGAUAUGACCUGAGAAUUUAACAAAAUUGUCGGUACCUGUUAGCAUCCUCAUUAGAGGUAGUCAUAUUCUCCAUUGGACCUUAUCUUCCCCUUUUUGUGUAAUCUGUGAUAUAAUAGCAAACUCAGUCCAAAAAUUCCCUUGCUGCCUUGAGAACAUUAAUACAAUCAGAACAUGUGUCACAUACCUUAAGAAUGAUCGUCUUCUUUUUUGUUGCUAGGAGAAGGACAACAAAAGAGAGAUCGUCUGCAUUAAUCUCCUGUCAUGUUUUGGAAAUCCCAGGUACUUGAUGAGCAAAUCACCUGUGUUACAAGUAAAUAUUUGGAUACAUUCAUGCAUUUUAUCUUGAGCUUGUCCAAAACAAUAGAGAUCACUUCUAUUAAAAUUAUUUCUUUUCACUCUGACAUACUCUAAAAGAUGCAGAAAAUAAGUUUUGCAUCUUGUCCUUAUCAUCCUCCAUUCAGAAAAUAGUAGCAUCACAAACUCAAUCUACGAAUUGUGUGCCUUCAGAACAUGAAUACAAUCAGAGUGUAUGUCACAUACCUUCUGAUUUAUUGUCUUCUUUUUUGUUGCUAGUAGAAGGAAGACAAAAGGGAGAUAAUCUUCAUCGCCUACAGAUCAGCUUGCCUUGGUUUCACUCUGAACAUGGGGGAUGAUCAGAAGAGAGAUAAGGCAAAAGGGAGUUGAUCUCGCCACCUACAGACCACAGAUGAACGUACCUCCGCCAUGUUCUUUUACAAGGACGAGCAAGAGGAACGGGGAAGAUGAGCAGGACGAAGGCAAAUAGAUCGUAGAGGAGCCGAACCCAUCGAUCGCUGUUUGUCGCCAACGCGAUUAUUAGGGUGGUGUUUUGUUUGGCGCCAAUGUGAGUCUUCGUGGUUCUGUUUGGCGCCAAUGUGAGUCUUCGUGGUUCUGUUUGGCGCCAAUCUUGCAACCGUACAAGAUUUUCUACCACAUAAUUAGGUGUUUGUUUCCAUCUAUUAACAGAAUCGGGUGGGGGUAAUGAGAGCCGUGAGAUUUAAAUGAAUGGCUGAUCUGGGUUGGUACAGUACCCGUGCAGUAAUAACGUGACUGCAGAUGAGCCGAACCCCGAGAUUGCGGCUAGAUGACAUCGGCUGCAUGUGGCAAGACAUGCAUAAAUACUAAUUGGUAUAAACUACGAGAUGAAGAACCUAGAAAGUCAGAUUAGAAGUAAGUUAGAUGUUAUUUUGAUUAUUUUAUUUUGAGGAAUCGUACAAUCAGAUUGUAGUUUUGAUUUUCCUGGGUUGGACACGUUGGGCCUCUUAAUUUAUGAAUAACUUUUUGUUGACAAAUUUUGUGUGUGCAAAGAAAGCACAUGGGCAGCGGAUCAGUGUACCCAAUAAUGAGUAAUCUAUCACAUCAUGCUUCCGAUAUAUACUUUGUAGUACUACUAUUUUAUGGGUGUCCUACAUAAAAGGACAUGUAAGAGACAACAUUACAAACAUUAUUAUUUUUUCAUUAUAUUGGAAAACAAAGGAUAUCCAUGUGAUCAAAGAAAAUUCAUACCUAUUUUG